UACGACGGGUGCAAGCGUUAAUCGGAAUUACUGGGCGUAAAGCGCGCGUAGGUGGUUCGUUAAGUUGGAUGUGAAAGCCCCGGGCUCAACCUGGGAACUGCAUCCAAAACUGGCGAGCUAGAGUAUGGCAGAGGUGGGUGGAAUUUCCUGGGUAGCGGUGAAAUGCGUAGAUAUAGGAAGGAACACCAGUGUCGAAGGCGACCACCGGGGCUAAUACUUACACUUAGGUGCGAAAUCGGGGGGCGCAAACAGGAAU
rnacentral:rRNA from 1 species